GACGAACGCUGGCGGCGUGCUUAACACAUGCAAGUCGAGCGGAGUGGCGAGCGGGUGAGUAACACGUGGGUGACCUGCCCUGCACUUCGGGGUGAGCCUGGGAGACUGGGUCUAAUACCGGCUAGUGUGGGAUGGGCCGGCGGCUUAUCGGCUUGUUGGGGGGGUAAUGGCCUACCAAGGCGGCGAAGGGUAGCCGACCUGGGAGGGUGGACGGCCACAAUGGGCCUGAGAGACGGACCAGUCGCGUAUGGGAGGCAGCAGGGGGGAAUAUGGCACAACGGGGCGACGCCUGAUGAGGCGACGCUGGGGGGGGGAUGACGGCUUUGGGGGUGGAAACUCCUUUCACCAUAUACGCGGUAGAUGGAGAAGAAGCACCGGCUAACUACGUGCCAGCAGCCGCGGUAAUUC
rnacentral:rRNA from 1 species